UCUCUGGGCUGGCAGUGCCAUGGCCGGGGCAUGUGCAGCCUCUCAGCCACAGCACCCCCAAGCCCUUCUGGGCAGGGCUGCUCUGGGGCUGUUCAUGCCCAGCCUGGGCUGGCACCAGGGCUUGUCCCAGCCCAGGUGCAGCAGCAGCACUUGGCCUUGUUAAACCUCAUGAUGUUCCUUUCCAUGGGUCCAUUCCUUGAGCUUGUCUGGGUCCCUCUGGAUGGCAUCCUGUCCUUCAGGUGUGUCAAACCACCACAGCUUGGUGUCACCUGAAAAUUUGUUGAGGGUGCACUUGAUCUCACAUCUCAUUGUCCAUGCUGUCAAUGAUGAUAUUAAAUAGUCCUGGUCCUAGCACAGGCCCCUGAGGGACACCACUCUUCACUGAUCUCCAUUUCAACAGUGAACUGUUUACCAUUGCAAGAUAUGACUUUGUGGCCAGAUCUACCUCUCAGUUUGCUAAAAGACCCUCCUGUACUCAGGGUGCAGGAUCUGCAUUCAGCACCAGCACUUCCUGCCACUGCCCACGUGGGAGACUGUUCACACAGUUCUCUCCUUUCCAUGCAAGGCCUCUCCCACUUUGAGGACACCAUCACCCAAGGGGACAGAAUUGUCAUGGUUCUUUCAGUGUUGAAGGCUCUCUUCUCUACUGCACCUCAGUGUUCAGCGCAGCAGGGAGCUGAAGCCCAGGUCUUGCCCUCACCCGCCUUGCAGAGCCAUCUGUGCCAUCACAGGUAUCUGAUAUGGAAUAGAAAAUGUUAAUGGAAACUGUCCAAAAGGCAGGUGGCCAGGGCAUAAUCCUCUCCCUGUGAAUGAUUUGAAAACAGUGUAAUAAAUAUAUCGUGUUGCCUCUCGAGAUGCCCUAUUCACUAUAUUUCUAGGGAAAAGACUGUCAAUUUUCUUGCUGAUUUCGUGAGCUAAGUUUAAAACUAAGUUUCCCAUUACUCCACUUAUGCUAAAAACAUUCCCAGAUAGAACAAUGUAGGAGGGUUGGGUCAUACAGUUAUUUACACAUGAAUGAAAAGCCACAUGCACAAACAUUUAGCAUUUUAUUUUUGUAAAGACAGGCAAAACUCCUUUUCUUUCCCUUUUUAAAAAUUCAAAUCUGUGCUUGAGUUUUCAUGUAUUUGUUACAAAUUUUUGGAUUAGUGGUGUAAGUUAGAAAUCCUUUGUUUCUCUACCUUCGCUAUCACUUGAUUAGUUUGUUUGAAUUUGAUAACGCACAAAGAAAGGCCUGUGGGUAAUCUGGGCCUUGCUGCUGUGUUAGGCCUCAUGCAAUGUCAGUCCUACGGUGCCUCAUCUGAAGAAUCUUAAUCUUUUUGUCUGAAGGUGCUGAAUGUGAUUUAGUGGGGAGGUGUGGGCUGCACAUCCUCUAUCCAGGUCCACUUCUGCAGGGUUGUGUGUUCCAUGGCAUCAUGACACUGGCUGCACAGAGGAGUGUCAGUCAACCAUCCAUGAGCACGCCUUUCCAUUCAGACCAGAUUCUUUCCAGAGUAUCUAAAGGCACUUUGUGCCAAGCUGUUUCAAAGGCACUCAUGAAGACAAUGGAUCACAACCUGUUGGAUCUGCAGAAGGGCUGUGCUGCCAUCUGUGUCCAGAAAGACUGUUUAUAGCAUAAGUAGUCC